GGAAAGAUGGUAGAGUGGUUUAAUACAUCGGUCUUGAAAACCGAAAAAGUGAAUACUUUCCAGGGUUCGAAUCCCUGUCUUUCCA
rfam:Candidatus Carsonella ruddii DC, complete genome.